UUUAUUCAUUCUCACAUUGACCUAGUGUACUGUAGGUAGGUGUACAUAUGCUUUAUUCAUUCUCACAUUGACCUAGUGUACUGUAGGUAGGUGUACAUAUGCUUUAUUCAUUCUCACAUUGACCUAGUGUACUGUAGGUAGGUGUACAUAUGCUUUAUUCAUUCUCACAUUGACCUAGUGUACUGUAGGUAGGUGUACAUAUGCUUUAUUCAUUCUCACAUUGACCUAGUGUACUGUAGGUAGGUGUACAUAUGCUUUAUUCAUUCUCACAUUGACCUAGUGUACUGUAGGUAGGUGUACAUAUGCUUUAUUCAUUCUCACAUUGACCUAGUGUACUGUAGGUAGGUGUACAUAUGCUUUAUUCAUUCUCACAUUGACCUAGUGUACUGUAGGUAGGUGUACAUAUGCUUUAUUCAUUCUCACAUUGACCUAGUGUACUGUAGGUAGGUGUACAUAUGCUUUAUUCAUUCUCACAUUGACCUAGUGUACUGUAGGUAGGUGUACAUAUGCUUUAUUCAUUCUCACAUUGACCUAGUGUACUGUAGGUAGGUGUACAUAUGCUUUAUUCAUUCUCACAUUGACCUAGUGUACUGUAGGUAGGUGUACAUAUGCUUUAUUCAUUCUCACAUUGACCUAGUGUACUGUAGGUAGGUGUACAUAUGCUUUAUUCAUUCUCACAUUGACCUAGUGUACUGUAGGUAGGUGUACAUAUGCUUUAUUCAUUCUCACAUUGACCUAGUGUACUGUAGGUAGGUGUACAUAUGCUUUAUUCAUUCUCACAUUGACCUAGUGUACUGUAGGUAGGUGUACAUAUGCUUUAUUCAUUCUCACAUUGACCUAGUGUACUGUAGGUAGGUGUACAUAUGCUUUAUUCAUUCUCACAUUGACCUAGUGUACUGUAGGUAGGUGUACAUAUGCUUUAUUCAUUCUCACAUUGACCUAGUGUACUGUAGGUAGGUGUACAUAUGCUUUAUUCAUUCUCACAUUGACCUAGUGUACUGUAGGUAGGUGUACAUAUGCUUUAUUCAUUCUCACAUUGACCUAGUGUACUGUAGGUAGGUGUACAUAUGCUUUAUUCAUUCUCACAUUGACCUAGUGUACUGUAGGUAGGUGUACAUAUGCUUUAUUCAUUCUCACAUUGACCUAGUGUACUGUAGGUAGGUGUACAUAUGCUUUAUUCAUUCUCACAUUGACCUAGUGUACUGUAGGUAGGUGUACAUAUGCUUUAUUCAUUCUCACAUUGACCUAGUGUACUGUAGGUAGGUGUACAUAUGCUUUAUUCAUUCUCACAUUGACCUAGUGUACUGUAGGUAGGUGUACAUAUGCUUUAUUCAUUCUCACAUUGACCUAGUGUACUGUAGGUAGGUGUA